UGAUCCUUCUGCCUCAGCCUCCUGAGUAGCUGGGACCACAGAUUUCAGUCUUUCCAUAAUUGUGGCCCUUGUGGCAAUCCAUUGGGAACUGAUGAUUUUGAAUAGAAGGGGAGCUUGCAUAACAUCCUAUAUACUCCAGGACAGGAUCCUGGUAAAGGUCAAGUGCCUGGGCACAAAAAAGCCUAUAUAUACUAUGGACAUCAUUUACUCAACUUGCCCCAUGGAAAGCGUGGUCACUGGUCUGUAUUGGCUGAUAUAUUGAC